rnacentral:rRNA from 1 species
AGCGAACGCUGGCGGCAGGCCUAACACAUGCAAGUCGAACGGACCUUUCGGGGUUAGUGGCGGACGGGUGAGUACCACGUGGGAACGUGCCUUUAGGUUCGGAAUAGCUCCUGGAAACGGGUGGUAAUGCCGAAUGUGCCCUUAGGGGGCCAGAUUUAUCGCCUUUAGAGCGGCCCGCGUAUGAUUAGCUAGUUGGUGAGGUAAUGGCUCACCAAGGCUACGAUCAGUAGCUGGUCUGAGAGGAUGACCAGCCACAUUGGGACUGAGACACGGCCCAAACUCCUACGGGAGGCAGCAGUGGGGAAUCUUGCGCAAUGGGCGAAAGCCUGACACAGCCAUGCCGCGUGGAUGAUGAAGGUCUUAGGAUUGUAAAAUCCUUUCACCGGUGAAGAUAAUGACUGUAGCCGGAGAAGAAGCCCCGGCUAACUUCGUGCCAGCCGCCGCCGUAA